GAUGAACGCUGGCGGCGUGCCUAAUACAUGCAAGUCGAGCGGACAGACGAGGAGCUUGCUCCUCUGACGUUAGCGGCGGACGGGUGAGUAACACGUGGAUAACCUACCUAUAAGACUGGGAUAACUUCGGGAAACCGGAGCUAAUACCGGAUAAUAUAUUGAACCGCAUGGUUCAAUAGUGAAAGACGGUUUUGCUGUCACUUAUAGAUGGAUCCGCGCCGCAUUAGCUAGUUGGUAAGGUAACGGCUUACCAAGGCAACGAUGCGUAGCCGACCUGAGAGGGUGAUCGGCCACACUGGAACUGAGACACGGUCCAGACUCCUACGGGAGGCAUCAGUAGGGAAUCUUCCGCAAUGGGCGAAAGCUUGACGGAGCAACGCCGCGUGAGUGAUGAAGGUCUUCGGAUCGUAAAACUCUGUUAUUAGGGAAGAACAAAUGUGUAAGUAACUAUGCACGUCUUGACGGUACCUAAUCAGAAAGCCACGGCUAACUACGUG
rnacentral:rRNA from 1 species